AAAACAACUCUCGGCAACGGAUAUCUCGGCUCUCGCAUCGAUGAAGAACGUAGCGAAAUGCGAUACUUGGUGUGAAUUGCAGAAUCCCGUGAACCAUCGAGUCUUUGAACGCAAGUUGCGCCCAAAGCCUUCGGGCUAAGGGCACGUCUGCCUGGGUGUCACGC
rnacentral:rRNA from 5 species